GUACAUGUGGGGCAAGCGUUGUUCGGAAUUACUGGGCAUAAAGGGUGCGUAGGCGGCUUGUUAAGUCAGGGGUGAAAGUUUUCGGCCCAACCGGAAAAUUGCCUUUGAUACUGGCGAGCUCGAGUGCGUGAGGGGUAACCGGAACGAGUCGUGGUAGCGGUGAAAUGCGUAGGAUAAUGACUCGGAAGGCCAACGGCGAAGGCAGGUUACGUGGUACGGCAACCUGGACGCUGAAGGCACGAAA
rnacentral:rRNA from 1 species